rnacentral:lncRNA from 1 species
CGCACACACAUAAUGAACUAGAUGUUUCCCAUUAAGAUAUGCACAAAUCAACAACCCCCAGUAGCAAUUACAUUGAACAAAGUGAUUAAUUUCCUUAACACAGCUAUAACAAGCAUAUUUGAUCGUUUGCAUUAUCUUUUGCAAUCAAAACUUAAUUACUCAAUGGAUCAUUUUAAACCUAUUUUAAAAUUACCUACUGUUAAUCUUCAAAACUUACUUGAAAUAUCACCCUAAAAAGGGGCCAAAUUGACCUCUAAAUACAAUUUUGGACACCUAAAAAUGGGAAAAGGGAGUAAGUCUCAGAAUAAUAUCCUGGACUCACAUAUUAAAUCCAACUGAAAAAAAAAUGAAAGAGUACCAAUUAGAGCAGCAGUAGCGCCAAGCAAGAGAAAUAGCUCUCCGUAUGAAAUUCCCAGCAUAUCUCUUCUUUCACUUUGUUUCUGUCAUAUGUUUGAAGAGGAACGCGAUAGGAGACCAUAAAAGAAGGACUCGGCCUUACAGGAAAUUUGGUCGGAGAAUUCCUCUGAGAGUAACCUGCCGGUGAGUCGUUUAGAGGAACGCGAUAGGAGAUUGUAAAACAAGGACCCCGCCUUAUCGGAAAUUUGGUCGGAGAAUUCGUCUGAGAGUACCCCGCCGGUGAGUUGUAAGCAUUUAACCAUGCUAGAGACGGUGGACCACUCUGAGGGUAACUGGCUCUCGAUGAACAAAUGAAUUGGAAGAUUUCCAAAAUUGAAGAUGUUGUGAUGAACUUCCAAUAAAUGUGACUUCCUCAGAUUUAUAUUUGAACCUUCUCCUAUUUUAACGAUCGAAAAGAGUAUUAUAAUGUAUGUAAUGAGAUAACACCAACCUUCUCACAUUAAUUUUCUAUCAUACUUGAUCAUAUUAAGCUAGCUAAAAUAUGUUGUUGUAAACACUAUCGUAUUUUCUCCAUCAAUCUAAAAAUAGUGUCUUUUUUAAGGAGUCAAAUCUCGAUUAAAAAAAACAAAUGAUUUGCAUACUCUUAAAUUGUCAUAUGAUGUUAAAUUUAAUCCAUCUUUCGACCGAUUUUUUUCUUUUUUUGCACAAAAACACGAUAAUAUUAACAGGUUUCCUUGAAAAGGUUAAACAAUAAGGUCAUGUUAGAGUUGGAAGUCUUGUAUCUCUGCAUCACCUAUUAACUUUUUUGUUGACUUCUUUUGCCCCAUAUCGUUUAUGAGUCUCUUUCCAUGCGUUAGAGUUUCAAGAGUUUGAUUUUAAUGUAAUUUCUUCGAGAUAGCACUUGUAUCAUUGUAAUUAUGAAAUUUUUUGUUUGACUAAUUGAUUUUAUGUCAGUGUGUGUAGGAUAGGAAAGCCUUGAUAGCGAGGACCGGAGGUCAAGCACUAAGGUUUUAGGAUAAGGUUAGUAAAAAUUUUCUUAUUUCAUAUAGCUCGGCCCUUAGAUUAUGGUUAUUGUUAUUCCAUGUUAUUUAUAUUUUAGUUUUUAUGCUUAUGUUACUAUUACGAUUUCUACUGAAGUAACUCUAUUUUCUUACUUUUUAAAUUUUUUUUCUUUCUUGUUUUUUAUUUUAUUUUCGUCUUUCUGAGCCGGGGAUCUAUCGGAAACAGCCUCUCUGUCUCUAUCGCGGCCGGGGUAAGAUCUGUGUAUACAUUACCUUCCCCAGACCCCACUAUAUGGGAUUUUACUGGGCAGUUGUUCUUGUUCAGUGUGUGUAAUUUAUUUUCAACUUAUGGUUCCAGUUCUUUACUUUGUGCCUCUUAUGGUAGCAACUGAUUGGUAUUAUUGCAUGUCAUUUUAUUAUUGUUUUAUGUUUAGAUAAUUAUUAAUGUUAUUUAUGCUGGAUUUACUAAUAUUGUUUUGUUUUUGUUUGAUUAUCACUCCCUUUCUCUGAGCCAAG